UACGGGGGGAGCAAGCGUUGUUCGGAUUUACUGGGCGUAAAGAGCUCGUAGGCGGUCUGUCGCGUCGGCUGUGAAAACCCGAGGCUCAACCUCGGGCCUGCAGUCGAUACGGGCAAACUAGAGUACUGCAGGGGAGACUGGAAUUCCUGGUGUAGCGGUGAAAUGCGCAGAUAUCAGGAGGAACACCGGUGGCGAAGGCGGGUCUCUGGGCCGAUACUGACGCUGAGGAGCGAAAGCGUGGGGAGCGAACAGG
rnacentral:rRNA from 1 species